GAAGAAAAAACGAGGUGUACAAUAAGCCACCCAUACACACUCGCGCGAAAGAGAGGGGAGGGGGACAACCAAACCGGCGUACGCCACUCGUUCACAACGAUCAGGGAGACUGCUGACUGAGCGUGUGUGUGUGUGUGUUCCCGACAGUGCCCUUGCAGGGGCGGCAGCCGCAAUGAACCGUGCCUCAGUGCGUCUGCUCGGGAACUACUCCCGAACGUCUGGCGCUCAACAGCACUCACAGGCAGCACACACGCCGUCUUUCUCGACCACUCGUUCUUCUUCUGUUCUCGGUUCGUUGGUGCGUAUGCGUAAUCAGUUCCAUCGACUGCGACACGCCCAACAGCAGCAGGCGAUCGCAGCUGUGUUGGCGCGGUACCAACUGCAGCCAGCACUGAGGACGCCUGCACCCUCCACUUCUCGGGCAGCAGGUCAGAUCGAUGGGGACGAUUCGGUCGGUCAAGAGGGCAGCGGUGACACUGGCGGCUCCACCGCUUCGUCUGUUCUUCAAACCGCCAUCAUCCUCUGCACCGAGGCGCUGCGGCUUCUUAACGGUGAGGUGCGCUGCCGUGAUAAUCUUUCGGAUGUGCCGAAAAGCUCCCCUAUGUACGGGUCAGAGAUCGGAAAGCUGCUCAACAUUGCCGCAGCCUUUGGCGCCUCUACUACCUUCCCUCGCGUGCAGCACGCCCUUCAUUGGAUCAAGCUCAACAAGGAGUCGCUGCAAACUCCUCGGCAGGUGAUGUCGCUAUGCAUGCCCUUGCUCAACUUGGGCGAUGGACGGACGGCUGGGGUGGCGUUUGUACUCGAGGAGCUUUACGAGCCUCUCCUGCUUGCGCUGCAAGACGUGGCCUCCACCUCACUUGAGUCAGCAGCGGAGUCGGCAGACAACGCCCCCAGCGAUGCUACGGCUGCCGUGCAGCAGCAUCUGGUGGCCAUUACGUCCGCCAUGGGUAUGGUGGCGAAGUGGUCCAGUCUGCGGCUCGGCAGCAAGUCGAAGGACUCGCUCACAUCAUUGGCUUCGGAGGUGCACACGGCAGCGAAGUCAGAUGCGACGGCCGAAGAGCUGGAUAAGAUGCUGAGGGUUGCCGAGGCGUGUGCGGCAGCGCUCAGGCGCCAGAGCGACCGCUGCCGUGGCACCGGCCCCGAUGAGGCUUUUGCGGCGAUGGCGCACCUGUCCCCGUCCGACGUGCUGCAGUGGAUUCAGUGCCUCCAUGGGCUCGAAAAGAUGUACGCGUUGGUAGCCCCCACACUGGGGGUCUCUCGUGCUCAAGCGGAGACCGCAUCGCGGCGCCUUCUCCUGUGCUACCGUGCCUUGCUUCCCUUGACACAGCGCACCCUGGAGUUGACCGGCGGAGGUGGCGGUGCGACUGUCGCCGCUGCGAGCAGUACCACCUUGGCAACGGGGGCGACUGCCGCGAACGUGCGGGUGACGGAUGUGGUGGAGCUCAUUCAGGUGGGCUUGCAGACCAGCAUUGAACCCACCCAUGUGGACCUAGCGCUUUCCUACGGUCUGCAGGCACUGCCCGGGGCACUGGCCUCAGCCACAGUCAAAGAUCUCAGCGAUGCCGCGCAGGUCGUGAACAAGGUGCGACAGAAGCGGCCGUCCGCUCUCCCAGCACCGCUGCUGCUCUCUAUUCAGGCUGCCUUUCGUCCCGCUUUAUUUCUCUUGCGAGAGACGCACGCCCUGCAGCUCCGCGCGUCGGACUGCGGCGUUCUUCUUUCGAGCCUUUCUCGCUGGGAGGAGGUUCCGGGGGUGACGGUCAGCGCCGACAUAGUCGAGCUUCUAUCCCAGCGCUUCGGGGAGCAAAUGCACGUCGUUGGCGCAAGCCAACUUGUGCCCUUUGUGGCGUCCCUUGCUCGUUUCGAGGAGCGGAAUCGCUCGCCGCAGCGUGGCGGUGCUGCAGGUCACGCAGUUGAAAAUGCAGCGGUGCUUGACGAGGAUCUGGCGGGUGACGGUGCUCAACUGGCCUACUCAGGCGUCGCAUGGAAGACGUCAGAGGGCCGAGCAGACGGUCUCACGUCCUCACCGGUUCACGGAGCACGCACCCGCGGUGCUGAAGGGGUGCGGUACCGCUUCUGCACGACUUCACGUGUUGUGUCGCAGUGCGUUCAGCGCGCCAUUGUCCUGGCCGGCGACAUUGAGACCCCUGGUGAUCCAGCGGUACCCCCGCGUCUUUCCGCCGCGGAUGCAGCGCAGCUGCUGACCCACUUUGUGCAGCUAUCCGCUCCGCAGUGCGCGGACUUCUUCAACAAGGUCGAGCCACUGCUCGUGCCGGCCAUGCAAGGCAGUGCCGACACGCCGUCCCCCGCUUCAGCAGCGAUCCGCCUGCGUGUAGUGACGGGAGACGCCGUCCAACGGUUUGUGCGGUACGCUGCUCAGCAGCGAGAGCACACGUGGGCACAGCGCACAAAUUCCACCACGCAGAAGACCAGGAAGGAGGCCUCUGUCGUCGAGGUGCGACGCGCUACUGCCUUGCUAAGCGGUAUGUCACGUGAUCUUACCAAGCUCAUCCGCGAGGCUGCUACCCCGAAGGAUCUGGUGCUGGCGUGCUCGCUGUUGCGCCGUCGGCUGCUGGACAAGGGUGCAGCGGCUGGUGCCGUAGUCGACAGCGACGAGGGAGCACGGAAGAAGCUAAAGAGCACCAAGACAAGCACCGCCGUCGCGCGCGCGCGAGCGCGAGCGUGGACGCGAAAGGAGCUGGAGCUGGCUACCGUCUUCGCCGCACAGGCGGCGAAAAUGGCACCCAAAUGCAAGGGCGUAGAACUGGGUGCGCUUGCCAGCGUCACGUCUUCCCUGUGCACUGCAGGCGUGCUGCCCCGGUCAGUGGCACAGGAGUUCAUGCGCGCCGUGUGGGCCCGCUGCGCAGCCGGGCUUGCUGUCGCCUCGAGGGGCGAGGCCGCGGGACCAGAGGCUGCUGCAGCGCUUACGCUCAGCUUGGAGAACUGCAAAACUAUCAUGGAUGCGUCUCGCUCGGCCCACCUGGCGCGGACCGUGCCCCCGGUCAUUUUUUUGGAGGCCUUUGCCGCCCAAUGCAGUGAGCUCCGGGAGGGGCGUUUGGGCGUGGUCGGCGGGGAGGAGUCGCCCUCGACCGCGCGCGGGACGGCACGAGCGUACGCGGAGGCGGUCACGAAGCUGCGCCGCACCGCGGACUUGGGGCGGUCACUCGUGUCCUACUUCGGGUCGCUGCGGCCGUCUCGCGGCGCGGCGGAAGGCGACGCGGCGAUGCAGAGCACAACCUGGCGAGAAGCCCAGGUAAGUGCGCUAGAGUCCUACCUCGAGGUUGCCCAUUCUGUGGCGGAAGCUUACGCGACGGAGGCCACGCUCUCCGAAACGUGGUGGGCCGAGUUGGAUGGCGGUAGCCCGCCGCCGAUGCCGCUGGAGCUGCUCAGCACAACCGCCAACGUGAUGGCACAGAUUUAUCGACUGGUGCACCGCCGCGUCGGCUCGACGAAGCGAGUCAGCAGCAUACCCGCAACGGCGCCGACCGUCCCCGACGAAGUGCCGGACGCAGAGGGCGAUGUUCUGGACGGCAGCUUGGCCGCGGUGGAUGACGCCGGAGCAGCGGUUCUGUCCGAGUUGGAGAGCAAAGUGCUCGAGGAUGAUGUGGAGCCAUCGCUUCUCGUCGACGACUCGCCGGCAAACCUUUUCACUGCCACUCUUGACCAAGCAGUCCAUGACAUUCUGGGACUGCUGGGCGACACGAUUGUGGCUCUCGCCAGACAGCAACAGCAGCAGCUCUCUUCGAGCGUCUCUGCAAAUGUGUCGGGCGAGACAGCCACAGAGGACUACGGCGGGCGGCUCACAACUGCGCCAGGUCAUGCCUUGGUGCAGAACCCAAAGCACCUCCUGAUGCUCUUGCGGGCCUUCGAGACAGUCGAUCACCCGCACCCGGAGAUGCUGUACAGCGUGUUGCCGGAGCUGCGCGGCUGCGCUGACCGGCUCGACCCCUUGGAACUGUCACUGCUCAUUCGCGCCUUGACGCAGCUAGGCGCGUGGAACAGCCGCCUGCUGAGCGCGCUUGCCACCGCCGUGGCGUCGAAGAUGAAUCAGUGCGAGCUGCGGCAAUGCUACACACUGCUGCACGGGCUGUGCCGAUCUGGCUGCACCAGUCCAGACACGUAUGUGGAGCUGCGGUCGACACCGCACAGGGACUGGGAUUCUGGCCGCGGAGGUGCCUCGAACAAGGCGGCGGCGCAGGAGCCGUUGCAGCGUUUGGCGGAGAACACGCUGCUCCGCCUGGACGCAUUCGUGCGCACCAAGGACGCCUUUAUGUCUCUUUCGCGGACGGCCGCGGUGGCGGACUUGGUGGGUGUGGUAAAGGCCCUGCGCUUCUUUCACGCGCCGCCGCCAGCGACAUACGACGCUUUCGUGGUACUCGCCGUUCGCAGACUCGCCUCUCAGGCGAAGCUUCUGUCGCUCGGAACGGUUGUGCAGCACACCAUGGCGCUGCUCAACGCCGUAUCGGAGCUUCGGCAGCCGGAGCAGCAACGUGUGUCGGCGCAGGUGUUGUGGACGGUGCUGCGCCGCGCGUUCGCGUCGUCGACUGAAGCCGGUGAACCAGGAGCGUUGACAGCAGCCGCGGGGGAUGCGUUCGCCGGCGUGCUGCACCUGCCCGCGUGCUGGGAACUCACCCGAUUUGCCGCCUUGCAUUCCUUGCAAUACGGCCGAGAGGCGACGCGGGAUUUUUUUGCACCUAUCGCCGCCUCAACCACGGAGCAGCGAGCGGUCAGUUGCGCACAUCUGACUCAGACGCGUCUUGCAAGGUUCAUCGACACGUACGCAUCGGACCUCACGGCCCACACACGCUCACCUUCACCUCCCUUGACGGCCGCUGAGCGGGCUGCUCUCCGUCGAUAUGCGCUUCACGCCUCACCGUGCUUGGUCCGCGGCGAUCGCGAGCUUGACGUCUACAUGUGCGCACCCCUGAAGCUUGCUCGCUUGAUCGCGGACGGUGACCCAACCACACUCGUGCACGCUGCCACUACGGCCGCUCCGGCAGCGCAAGCGAGGCGGUGUAUACGGCUGCUUGCGUGUCUCCUCCGCACCGACUUGUGGCCUCCCUCAAUCUCGGCUGCGACGGCCGACACACAAAUGCUCGUCGCUGCGCUGCUGCGGCUGUGGACGGCGGCGGAGCUUCACGGCCUCCUGCGACAUUCGCCAGGCGCCUUCUCGACAGAGGAGUUGCUGGUGCUGGCGGCUGCCGCCGAUCGUGUGCACCAGCACAGCGUCGAUGCCGGCAACUUGCAGGACGACUUUGCCGUGACUGUGCGCCAGCUGUGUGCUGCCACGACGGAGUGGCGCCUGCCUGCUGCCGUGGAUGCUUGGAUGCUGUUCGCCAUGCCCUUUAUGGCGAGCUCGUCGAUGCCGUCAGCCGCGCUGACGAACUUCAGCGACGAACUCUUCUUGAUGCUUGUGGCGAGCGGCGACGUGCUUGUAACGAGGUUCGCGCACGCACAACGGUCAUGGGCUACGCGUGGGGCACGAAUGCUGCCGGAGCUGCUGCGUCUGUUUCGCGGUCCUGGCCAGCUGGAUGUGGCCAUGUUGCAAUCGGGGGCUGUCGGUGGCGACACGAUAUCUUUCGCGCUUCCACACACUGCCGCCGACGCCCCGGCCGCAAGGGCACGCUUUUUAGAGAUGUACAAGGAGCUGCUCCGCUGCUUUACUUUGUGCCUCGCUUGAACUCACGGAGCCGUGCCUGGGUAAGCGCUCUUGCGCGUUCAUGGGCUGUUGGCUGAUUGCCGUGCUUGCGUGUGGGUGUGGGUGUGUAUGUGGGGGUGGGGCGGGGGGUUUUUCCUCGUCUAGUGCGUUUCGCAUUGUCCCCCUCUUCGUUCACCUUCUUGCACGGUAUGCGAGCCUCCGGAGGCGCCCUUCACAUCAUAAAGCGGCACGCACAUACGGGAUGCGGGCGGUGAAGAAGGCAGGAAGACGAGGCAAUGGCUGCCGUCUUCGUCGUCCUUCCUUCCUCGCAGCUUCUCAUUCGCCAUCGAUGCACCGCAUUUCUCUCUGGAUAGUGCGGCUGUGUCUGCGGUGCGCACCCACACCGCACGGUGUUCGAUGAUGCGCAGACGACCGUCUGACGCCUACACCUCUUUAGCGCACCUUCGUGCUUUCUUCAUCAGCCGUGUGCAUCAACUCAUGCUCCGCCGCGCACGGCAAGUGCCCUUCUUCUCCCCCGCUCUUCCUCAUGCUUCUCGUGCGUUUCCGCCUUCGCUUCUUG
rnacentral:misc_RNA from 1 species